GGUUCUAUCGAAUAGUGGUUAUUUCACUAGUUUUACGUACUAGGGGUCGCCGGUUCGAUCCCGGCUGGAACCA
rnacentral:tRNA from 1 species